GCCCGUGUGGCCUAGGAUCCAGUGUCAUUCUUGAGGGCCUGGAGGAUGCCCAAAUGCGUCUUCCAACCCGAAGCCGCGUGGGCUCGCCCGUCGCCGAAGCCCGUCGCCGAAGCAGGACGAGGAUGAGACGAUUAGGCUACCGGCUAAGGAAGUAUUAUCAGUUCCUAGCGGGUAGAGGAUGUUUCUGACACAUCUUAGCAUCUCCGAGUGCUAGAAGAAUAGAGCUGACCGUAAGGAUCAGGUGAGGAAACUGAAGCAUAAGCUACACAACUCCAGUGAGAAGCAGAGCUGGAACUGAUUCCACUUGGCUGAUUACUCAGGUCAGCUAGAUCCUAACCUCGUAUCCUGCAGUGCUUGCUUUCAGUGAACAGAAUAUCUACAGUAUUGUUGGAAUCCUCAAGACCUGGGGGGCCCCACCAUCUGAUAUCUGAAAACAGACGUCCUGUGAAGCAGGAGUGAUGGUUUCCUGAGAACAAAUGCUUCACUAUCAAGACAUGGAAAGAUAGCACUCGGCUGCUAGUAACAAAUUGCACCAAAGAAGUUACAAAUGCAGACCAAGCCUUGGUAAAUAUUAAUGACGACGAUGAUUUGUGACAUACUGAAAAUGUCAGAUUUUAGCAUUAUGGGCGUACUGUAGAUACUAGAAUGUAAUUGAACCAAAAUGAUGCUCGAGAGAAAUUUUGAAGUAAAUGUGUAAAUUAGGCUACCUAGUAUAAACUAGAAGUGCCUAAGUCAUUCUUUUCCUUAGUAAAGCACAACUAAGUAAGCCUUUUUUUUUGGCUGCUCUGCGCGGCAUGUGGAAUCUUAGUUCCCUGACCAGGGAUCGAACCCGUGCCCCCUGCAGUGGAAGCGUGGUUUCUUAACCACUGGACCACCAGGGAAGUCUCCCAGCAUGUAAGCCAUUUAUGCAGCAGAGCAUUUGUUUUUAGUUUCUGAGAUCUGUUUGGGUCAUCUACAACUGGUGGCAUGGAAAGGAAAAGAACGCUGCAAAGACUGAACAAACAGCAUGCACUGUGGUAGCCUUUAUUUAAAAAUUGUGAGCUAACUACAGUUGUAGUGUUCUCAUUUACCAUUCUGAUGGCAUAAUAAACUGGGAGAACAUUAACACAACUUCAAGAACGCAUCAAAAAAACCUGUAAACAAACAUACACACCCCGCAUGCGCGCACAUAUACAGCAUACACGCACACAAAGAUUAUAGUCUAAACACAAUCAAAAGUGAUGAAGAAAAGCUUUGAAUGCUCUAAAUCAAAUUUAAAACACUUUAUUAUAAUAAACUGUGGCAAUACUGUGGCUAUAUGAAAAAUGUUGUAACUGCUUAAAAAGCAAAAAGAAAAAUACUGGCAAUUUGAAACUAGCAGCAAGAAGCAGAUAAAAAUAGAAUGGAAGAUAACAUAAGACUAAGUAACAUCAAAAUUCUAAUGUUGAUACUGUGUAGGAUUGCACUGAAGUAAUUUAAAAUUGGUUCUUAAGGAACUCUCAAAAAGUCCCUUGAAAUAUUAAACUGCUGCGCUUUACAAGCAGUGGAAAAGAAAAAAGUAUUUGGAAUGUUACACACACACAGAGGAAAUGUAUUAGGCAUAUCAGUUUAUGGUCUUUGUUUAUGCCCUUCAAAAAGUUUUAUAAAGAAAAAUUUAAGUGCCAAUGUAGUGAAAGAAAAUUUAAAAUUCCUAAAGAUGCAAGUCUGAGUGCAUUUAUCAGGUUAAGAAUAUAUUUCAAGGUUGGGGGGCAAAGCAUAAUUGAUGCACAUUCAAGAAGAAAAGUCUCGUGGAAUCCAUAAGGUAAGUAGAGUUCUCUGGAGCAUGUUUAAAAAUGAAGGUAUAUUAAACUCAGACUGUCCUGAAUGAGAUUCCAAAAUAUGUGGAGUUCUAUAGCUGAAAUCUAUUUCAUAGUGGCCAAUAAAUAAUUAAGACUAACUUUUCAGCAAACUGUUUUUUCAUACAAACACAAAAAUCUUUACCACACAUGCAGAAAUGAUAUUCUAAAACAGCACAGGUAUGAAUCCUGGUUUCAGAAAAACACAUUAACAAGGAUUUUUUUCCAUAGGUUCCUAUAAAAAUGUCUGAAGCGUCUAGAAAUCUUCAAAGAGGGGUAAGUUUAGAUUUCCUACUGAUUUUGGAAGAAAGGAGAUUCUGUUUUUCCUAAGGAAGCCAGUCAUCCAUGAGCAGGAGACGUGUCUUCAGAAUCUAAGAAGUGUCAUGUCCCUAACGCUUAAACUCAUGGCAAGUCCAGAUCCAGAAAAACUGGCAGGUAGAACAGGGGAUGGAAAUGAAAAGUUCAAAUGUCUAUAGUAUACUUUGGAAAUAUUGUGCCUCGUAAGUUAAAAUGGCUCAACUGCCUGCAGAAUGAAGUGCUACAGGACUGGAGAAGACCUGGUUCUCUGGAGUAGGAGCUGGGAGAGACGCCCAUCUCCAGGGACCCUCUGGGCAGGGCUGUGACCUUGUUUUUUCAUGAGUGCUUUCAGUUGGAGAAUUUAUAUGACUUUGCCUAGAUAAAGCUUCCUUCUGGUUACUUUUUCUCUAAAAUUGGUUGGUCAGGCAAGUUACUGGUGAUUUCCCAAAAUGAAAUCUAGGUGUACUAGAAUCUUAAGGUGCCAGCUAAUUUAAAUUAAUGCCCCUCAGUAACGCUGCUGGGUAUCAACCACUAUUGCUGAAGAAUCAACCCCCAAAUGACCUAACUAAAUAAUCUAUCACACUAGGUGCUUUUACUGUCUUGGGUUUUUUGAGCUUUAGAGAGAUAGUCUUUGUAAUAUGACUUAGAAACUGCUUCUCUCUGGCUUUGUUUCAUUCUUCCUCCUCUUCUUCUUCCCCCUCU